rnacentral:rRNA from 1 species
UACGUAGGGUGCAAGCGUUGUCCGGAAUUAUUGGGCGUAAAGAGCUCGUAGGCGGUCUGUCGCGUCGGCUGUGAAAACCCGGGGCUCAACCCCGGGCCUGCAGUCGAUACGGGCAGACUAGAGUGCGGUAGGGGAGACUGGAAUUCCUGGUGUAGCGGUGGAAUGCGCAGAUAUCAGGAGGAACACCGGUGGCGAAAGCGACUUUCUGGUCCUUAACUGACGCUGAGGCGCGAAAGCAUGGGGAGCGAACGGG